UAACGCGUGGGCGGGGUUCUUGCUGAUGCGUUUGGCAAGUGCAUGGGCCUGGGGGAGGAGAUCGUCGUGCGGCACGACGCGGCUUACC
rnacentral:tRNA from 1 species